GGUCCGGAACCUUUGAAUACUGCUCAGGUAACCUGGGGACUGUUUUCACCUGAACACCCUGGAGAGAAGAACAGCGAGGUCGGGACGCUUCUAUCAGCUGUGAAGGUAACACGAAGGCGCCAAGGUCAUCUGCUCUGCUUUCGUUCGCGGCCCCGCUCACUGCAGCGUGCUCAAAGUUGAGCUGCUGCCCCUCAUUUGCCAAACUU